rnacentral:lncRNA from 1 species
CCGCCUCAGAUUUGGGACUUUGCAGGUAGGAUUUGAACAAUUUUAUACUUCAACGAAAGAAGUAAAAAGAGGAAGAAAAUUAGGAUAGCUGUGCCACUGGGGGCUAAGUUUCACCGCUAAAUGUGAUAGAACUGCUACGCUUUUAGUUCGACGGCCACACAUGCCCAUCCCAUAUGCAAGAACUCCACUGUGGAAGUGAAGCCAGUGUACUGUUCUAUUUUCUACAUCUUAGGGUACCUUUCCUUGGUAAGCCUGUAUGAAGUUGGCACUGGGGAGUCUGUGUGC